CACGUAGGGCGCAAGCGUUGUCCGGAAUUAUUGGGCGUAAAGAGCGUGUAGGCGGCUUUACAGGUCCGUUGUGAAAACUCGAGGCUCAACCUCGAGACGCCGGUGGAAACCGUAAAGCUAGAGUCCGGAAGAGGAGAGUGGAAUUCCUGGUGUAGCGGUGAAAUGCGCAGAUAUCAGGAGGAACACCGGUGGCGAAGGCGGGUCUCUGGGCAGUAACUGACGCUGAGGAGCGAAAGCGUGGGGAGCGAACAGG
rnacentral:rRNA from 1 species